CUUAAAACUACCAUAGAAAACUCUUUUCCAUCAUUUUAGUUUCAGAUUUGGCUUUGAAUUCAAGUCAAGAAAAAAAAACAAAAAACAAAUCAAAAAUAGCAAAAAUAGUCGAUGUUUCAUUAGAGUUUCAGUCUGAGUUUGAGUUGAUUUUUGCAUCAAGCUUUCCUUAUUUGGCUCAAAGGUUUAAACUGGUUUUCGAGUGUUAAUUGUUGUUGGAUUCUAGAAUUACUGGUUGAUUUCAAUGGGUUUGUUUGAAGAUGUGUGUCCUUGUUGUGUUGUUGUGGUGAAUUUAUAGUCCAUUUUGGUCACUUGAGGAUUGCUUUGGGCUGAGUUUCUCCAGCCUGAUUUUACUCACAAUCUCCUGGUUUAUUCACACAAGUUUGGUUGUGUUUUCUGCCUAAAUUUUGUUGUUGUUGGUUAUUGCUUUGCUGCUGAUUACUUUUCCUCUUACUUUACUUCAAUUCCAGGUACAUACCUUGGGCCUGAUUCGAUGUAGCCUUUCAAGUUGAAAAAUAAAAUGGAAACACUCGCAUAUUUUCUCCUUAGACUGUGUUUGUUAGACUGUUACAUGUUAAUAUUGAACAAAUUUUUGACAUAGAUCAAUUUUUGAUCUAUGUGUAUAAACAUGGAUGGUAUAAUUGGACUCUAUAUCUUGACUAUAUCAUUUGUGAAUUGGUCUUCAUGCACGCAUUUAAUACUUGGAUGUUGUAGCAGAGUAAUACUAUUGUAGAUGUUCAAUUGUUGUCACUAAUGGUAUAUUUCAUAUAGUGUAAUUUGGGUGUUCAGUUGUAGCUGUAGUAACUCUUGUACUUAGCUUCAUAACCGUUGUAGUAGUUGUUAGAGUUUAAUAUUGAGAAUGUGGAACUUAGCAAUAAUUCGCAUAGGUUUCUGUUAGAUAAUACGCUUAACGCUAGAGGGGGAGGGGGUGAAUAGCGUUAUGAUAAAAAUUAGCGUAAACUUGCGGAAUUUAAAAAUUGCAGG
rnacentral:lncRNA from 1 species